rnacentral:rRNA from 1 species
UACGGGGGGGGCAAGCGUUGUUCGGAAUUACUGGGCGUAAAGGGCUCGUAGGCGGCCAACUAAGUCGGACGUGAAAUCCCCAGGCUCAACCUGGGAACUGCGUCCGAUACUGGAUGGCUUGAAUCCGGGAGAGGGAUGCAGAAUUCCAGGUGUAGCGGUGAAAUGCGUAGAUAUCUGGAGGAAUACCGGUGGCGAAGGCGGCAUCCUGGACCGGCAUUGACGCUGAGGAGCGAAAGCUGGGGGAGCAAACGGG